rnacentral:rRNA from 1 species
AUUGUUCGCCAAAUAACUACGAGUAAAGACUUAAAACUUAAAAGACUUGACGGUAUCUCACAACAGCCUAGAGGAGCCUGUCAAAUAACCGAUACCCCACGAUUAACCCCACCCACUCUAGCCAGACAGUCUAUAUACCGCCGUCGCCAGCCCACCUUAUGAAAGAAACAAAGUGGGCCAAACAACCACCACGCUAAUACGACAGGUCGAGGUGUAACUUAUGAGUGGGACCAUGAUGGGCUACAUUUUCUAAGACAGAAAAUACGAAUAAACUAUGAAACAAGAACCUGAAGGCGGAUUUAGCAGUAUAUCAAGAACAAAACACUUAAUAGAAACUAUGCAAUGAGAUGCGUACACACCGCC